GCAUAUCAAUAAGCGGAGGAAAAGAAACCAACAGGGAUUGCCCUAGUAACGGCGAGUGAAGCGGCAACAGCUCAAAUUUGAAAUCUGGCCUCGGCCCGAGUUGUAAUUUGCAGAGGAUGCUUCUGGCGCGGUGCCUUCCGAGUUCCCUGGAACGGGACGCCACAGAGGGUGAGAGCCCCGUAUGGUCGGACACCAAGCCUGUGUGAAGCUCCUUCGACGAGUCGAGUAGUUUGGGAAUGCUGCUCUAAAUGGGAGGUAAAUCUCUUCUAAAGCUAAAUACCGGCCAGAGACCGAUAGCGCACAAGUAGAGUGAUCGAAAGAUGAAAAGCACCUUGAAAAGGGGGUUAAAUAGUACGUGAAAUUGUUGAAAGGGAAGCACUUAUGACCAGACUUGGGCCGGGCGGCUCAUCAGGGGUUCUCCCCUGUGCACUCCGCCCGGCACAGGCCAGCAUCGGUUUUCGCGGGGGGAUAAGACCGACGGGAACGUAGCACCCUCCGGGGUGUGUUAUAGCCCGGCGGACGAUACCCUCGCGGGGACCGAGGACCGCGCUUCGGCAAGGAUGCUGGCGUAAUGGUCAUCAGUGACCCGUCUUGAAACACGGACCAAGGAGUCGUCCAUUAGAGCGAGCGUUUGGGUGUAAAACCCGCACGCGUAAUGAAAGUGAACGCAGGUGAGAGCUUCGGCGCAUCAUCGACCGAUCCUGAUGUUCUCGGAAGGAUUUGAGUAAGAGUUUUAACGGACGGACCCGAAAGACAGUGAACUAUGCUUGUAUAGGGUGAAGCCAGAGGAAACUCUGGUGGAGGCUCGCAGCGGUUCUGACGUGCAAAUCGAUCGUC
rnacentral:rRNA from 1 species